rnacentral:piRNA from 1 species
UCAGUGCAUUUUUGAUGCUGAUGCUGGAUCC